rnacentral:lncRNA from 1 species
GGAAAGAGGAAGCAGAGAUUGACAAUGUGCAGACGAGGCAAAAUCUGCAUGAUGUGAUUUAAUAGAACAAUAAGCAGCAGCUGGAGCCUUCCACUCGUGCUCUCAGAAGAAGCACAAGGAGAUCUCUGAUGACACGACAGGGCAAAGAAUGGUGAGGAGAAGACACAGUGAGGUUCUUAUCUGGAGCGUGGUUCUGCAGCUACAGAUUUGCCUGAAUUCAGUGAGAUCGCUCCAAACCCUUUGGAGGAGCUCGAGCACCGAGGGGAAGGGUGAGAGGCAAUUGUCAGCAGCUGGCUGGAUUAAAU